AACGAACGCUGGCGGCAUGCCUAACACAUGCAAGUCGAACGAGACCUUCGGGCCUAGUGGCGCACGGGUGCGUAACGCGUGGGAACCUGCCCUUAGGUUCGGAAUAACUCCCCGAAAGGGGUGCUAAUACCGGAUAAUGUCUUCGGACCAAAGAUUUAUCGCCUUUGGAUGGGCCCGCGUUGGUUUAGCUAGUUGGUAGGGUAAAAGCCUACCAAGGCGACGAUCCAUAGCUGGUCUGUGAGGAUGAUCAGCCACACUGGGACUGAGACACGGCCCAGACCCCUACGGAAGGCAGCAGUGGGGAAUAUUGGACGAUGGGCGAAAGCCUGAUCCAGCAAUGCCGCGUGAGUGAUGAAGGCCUUAGGAUUGUAAAGCUCUUUUACCCGGGAUGAUAGUGACAGUACCGGGAGAAUAAGCUCCGGCUAACUCCGUG
rnacentral:rRNA from 1 species